AGCUCGCAAGAUGAAAUAUUUUUGGAUGAAAAACAAAUACCACCGAUGGCGCAAAAACCAUGUGGAAAUCUCCAUGUUGCCUUCCUUCUGAUCAAGAGC
rnacentral:snoRNA from 16 species